AAGUCCCUGCCGUGUUCGUGACCUGGCCAUACAUUCCUUGAACCAAUGCUAUAGGCAUAGGUUGCUGGAUUGACAGAUGGGAGCGCUGCCUUCACUGGACGGCCCGAAGUCUGACUGAUGGCGACCACCGUGAACCCUCGGUUCCGGGAUGCCGGCCUAGACGGCACAGGCGGGGCAUUA
rfam:Castellaniella defragrans 65Phen complete genome